GAUGAACGCUGGCGGCGUGCCUAAUACAUGCAAGUCGAGCGAACAGACGAGGAGCUUGCUCCUCUGACGUUAGCGGCGGACGGGUGAGUAACACGUGGAUAACCUACCUAUAAGACUGGGAUAACUUCGGGAAACCGGAGCUAAUACCGGAUAAUAUAUUGAACCGCAUGGUUCAAUAGUGAAAGACGGUUUUGCUGUCACUUAUAGAUGGAUCCGCGCCGCAUUAGCUAGUUGGUAAGGUAACGGCUUACCAAGGCGACGAUGCGUAGCCGACCUGAGAGGGUGAUCGGCCACACUGGAACUGAGACGCGGUCCAGACUCCUACGGGAGGCACCAGUAGGGAAUCUUCCGCAAUGGUCGAAAGCCUGACGGAGCAACGCCGCGUGAGUGAUGAAGGUCUUCGGAUCGUAAAACUCUGUUAUUAGGGAAGAACAAAUGUGUAAGUAACUAUGCACGUCUUGACGGUACCUAAUCAGAAAGCCACGGCUAACUACGUG
rnacentral:rRNA from 1 species